rnacentral:rRNA from 1 species
GAUGAACGCUGGCGGCGUGCCUAAUACAUGCCAGUCGAGCGAACAGACGAGGAGCUUGCUCCUCUGACGUUAGCGGCGGACGGGUGAGUAACACGUGGAUAACCUACCUAUAAGACUGGGAUAACUUCGGGAAACCGGAGCUAAUACCGGAUAAUAUAUUGAACCGCAUGGUUCAAUAGUGAAAGACGGUUUUGCUGUCACUUAUAGAUGGAUCCGCGCCGCAUUAGCUAGUUGGUAAGGUAACGGCUUACCAAGGCGACGAUGCGUAGCCGACCUGAGAGGGUGAUCGGCCACACGGGAACGGAGACACGGUCCAGACUCCUACGGGAGGCAGCAGUAGGGAAUCUUCCGCAAUGGGCGAAAGCCUGACGGGGCAACGCCGCGUGAGUGAUGAAGGUCUUCGGAUCGUAAAACUCUGUUAUUAGGGAAGAACAAAUGUGUAAGUAACUAUGCACGUCUUGACGGUACCUAAUCAGAAAGCCACGGCUAACUACGUG